GCCGGCCUGAAUGUGAACCAGGACGGGGGACCGUGAGUAACAAAGCGAGGGGCUCCGGUGCUCCAUCAAGGUCAGGGUUUCUUGCCUCAAGCUUCAAGAGGCAAAAGCACAGAAGAGCUCUUGGCUGGCAGAUGAAAUGAAAAGAUAAGGCUGCUGGCAGCCGCCCCAGACAUCUCUGCACCAACAAAAGCUGCAUCGCAUCCUUCGGGCCAAGUGGGGUUGCAGCGUGGGGACGGCCAAGCUUCUGGAGCGGGCGCCGGAGGAGCCUGGGGUCUGAGGAAGGACAGGGCACCCUUGCAGGGGAAACGUGAUGGUCAGCAGGACCUCACGAGACAGAGGCCGGCUUCCCGUUGGCCUCUCCAGGAAGCAGGCACCGUCUGCCUUUCCCAGCCCUGACGCUGCAGUUGUCUUGUCUGGGGCCGGGAGUUUGGAAGCCUCUGGUGAGCCAGCAGCUCCCAGGAGGCUACAGGGUCACAGCAGGGGAUACCUCCACAGUCAUCGGCCCCCUCCACCCCUCCCCUCUGCAGCCGUGGAAAUACAGGCACACAGAUUCAGUCUCUUCACCCAACCUACUUAGGAUGCAACCCAGGCACCCUCUCGGACCAUUUCACACGCGUUUAUCACCUCCGGGAAUGCUCACCCGUCGUUCCAGCCCCCCAUCCUCGCACCCUGCCCAGCACAUGGUAGGAUCUGGACGCAGCCCCAGUUGAAAUCUAAGCACGGGAAGCGGGGAGAGCUCCGCAGAGACCAGAAUGCUGAUGUGACAACUGGAGCUUCAGCAACUCUUUUGGCUCAUGAGGCACCUGUGAGACAGGAAGGCUAAGAGUAGAAGAAGAGAAAAAGAGGAGGAGCCCAGGUCCGUGGUCACCCUGUGGAGCUACCCAGGUAUCCCAGGACCUUGAACCUCUAGAAUUUUUUUUUUUAACGUGAAAGAGAAGUUUCCAUUGUGUUUGUUGCAGCUUCUGUCACUCACACAGUUCUUAUCUGUUACACAUGUCAUAAAGGAUCACGUAAGCACCAGUGUACUUAUUUUACCCAUUUUGGGUUUUUUUUAAAUGUUUUAAAAUGUUUAUAUUUAUUUUUGAGACAGAGAGAGACAGAGCGUGAGCAGGGGAGGGGCAGAGAGAGAGGGAGACACAGAAUCCGAAGCAGGCUCCGGGCUCUGAGCGGUCAGCACAGAGCCCAAAGUGGGGCUCGAACCCACGAACCGUGAGAUCAUGACCUGAACUGAAGUUGGAUGCUCAACUGACUGAGCCACUCAGAUGCCCCGGGUUUUGUUUUUUUUUAAGUUUGUUUGUUUGUUUGCUUGUUUAUUUAGAAUAUAUGGGGAAGAGGCGGAGAGAGAAAGAGGGAGAGAAUCCCAAUGCAGGGCUGGAACCCACAAACUGUGAGAUCAUGACCUGAGCUGAAAUCCAGAGUCGGAUGCUUAACCAACUGAGCCACCCUGGCGCCCCUUUAUUUUACCCAUUUUGGAAGAACAUCUUUCUGGAAUGCAUUGCUCUCUUGCCUUUUUUAAACCAAGGGUGCAGUGAACAUCUAGGGUCGCUCGAUAUAACACGGGACACCCGGUGAAUUUGAAUUUCAGAUAAGCAACAGAUAAUUUUUUGGUAUACGCCUAUCCCCAGUAUUGCACAGGACAUACUCAUACUAAAUAAUAAUGAGGUGUUCAUCUGAAAUUCAGAUUUAACUGGGAGUCCCACAUUUUUAUUUGCUAACUCUGCCAGCCCUCACGGAACAGACUGUUUCCCUGCUGUUACUCAUGCUGAUGUGUGCGGUGAUGCUGUGGGGGCCUAUCGAGACGUGUCGGGCUUUUAGCCCUUCUGUGAAAUGGACCCAGUUUGCCACGCUUUUCCCUUUUAUUCCACGCUUCCUAAUGCUUCCCUAUCUUCUUUGGUCAUCAGUCUGUCGGUAGCCCUGUCUGUUGCUCUAACAGGCAUGUCUGUCCUACCCCUGUCCUCAUUGGUGAUGUGCCCUGGUAACCUGUGGAUGAACACCGCCUUCAGAGGGGCGCGCCCCGGGACCGGAAGUCUGGGUUCGACCCCAGGUCCCCCCACCCCCACCCCGAGUCACCGUGGGCAGCUCAUCGAACCCAUGUGAGCUUGGAUUCCUGCUUAGAUAAUAUGGGGGGGGGGGGAAUUAGAGCUGCCUCGUGGGUUAUGUGAGGCUUAACUGUGGGAACUGCUGGGGCCGUGCCUGGCCCUCCCUAGGCCCUGAGCAGAUGGGGUAAUUGUCGUGCGGUGGGCUCAGCGACCGGCUAAGCAAACUGGAGAAACAGAGAUCUAAGGAGAGAGCUUCUAUGAGUAAAACAUGAGCAACAGGCAUGCGGAGGUUGCUGAGAGGGGGUGCAGGAGGGAGGCUGGGGGGGCCGAGCACUGAAGUCACAGGAGAGCGUGAGGACACAUGCCCAGUCAGUGUGGGUGGUGCCAGUGGACAGCGUGGGCAUUGUUAUCUGUUCCCCCAAAUUCACGUGCUCAAACCCUGACCCCCAGCACCCCAGAAUGUGGCUGUUCCGGAGACGGGGUCUUUCAAGGGGUGUUUAAGUUAAAAUGAGGCCGUUGGGGUGAGCCCUGACCCAAUCUGACUGGUGGCCUUAUAAGAAGAGGAGGUUCGGACACAGAUGGGCACAGAGGGAUGACCACGUGAGGACAUGGGGAGAGGACGGCCAUCUGUAAACCAAGGAGAGAGGCCCCAGGAGAAACCGGCCCCUGCGGAUGCCUUGAUCUCAGACUUCCAGACCCCAGAACUGAGAAAAUAAAUUUCCCUUGUUUAAGCUGCCCCGUCGGCGGUACUUUGUUAAGGCAGCCCCCUAGCAAACUAGUACAGGUGUGGAAACAGAAGGUUCUGGAAAGACAGCAGCAGGCCGAGUGCCCGCGUGCCGCAGUUCCUCCCUUUAUCCAACAGAUAUUAUUAUUGUUAUUGCCGUCCUUAUUGAUGUCAGGGAGUUCAGCAAGGAACACGGUCCUUCCCGUGACAGGGACAGAAACCCAAGAGAAGAAGAAACUA